UACGGAGGGUGCGAGCGUUAAUCGGAAUUACUGGGCGUAAAGCGCGCGUAGGUGGCUUGAUAAGCCGGUUGUGAAAGCUCCGGGCUCAACCUGGGAACGGCAUCCGGAACUGGCAAGCUAGAGUGAAGGAGAGGAAGGUAGAAUUCCCGGUGUAGCGGUGAAAUGCGUAGAGAUCGGGAGGAAUACCAGUGGCGAAGGCGGUCUUCUGGACUGGCACUGACACUGAGGUGCGAAAGCGUGGGUAGCAAACAGG
rnacentral:misc_RNA from 1 species